GCCCAAUGACAUUACGUAUGAUCUAAGCCUUAUGUAACAAAAAAUUUAUGAACGGACACGUUCAAAUACUGGACGCUUCAUAACGGUUAACAAUGAUAUUGGCCCAAUGAUAUUGCGUAUGAUUUAAGCCUUAUGUAAAAACGUCUAUGAACGGACACGUUCCAAUACCGGACACUUGAAAACGGCAAAACAAUAGUAUUGGCCCAAUGAUAUUACGUAUGAUCUAAGCCUUAUGUAAAAAACAUUUAUGAAAGGACACGUUGCAAUACCGGACACUUCAUAAAGGUUAACAAUGAUAUUGGCCCAAUGCUCUUGCGUAUGGUCUAAGCCUUAUGUGAAUAAUAAAUGGACGCUUCAAAUCAGCAGAGAAAUUUUAUUGUCUCAAAACAUUUUUCCCAUCGUAUAACCCUUAAAAAAGUAUCUUCCAUCAACGACAAAUUUUCAAAUAUCGGAGACCUUCAACCAACCGAAAAUUUCAUGCCUUCAGCUAGAUCUUUUUUUCAAAAAACCCUUGUCAGCGGAAAUUUUCUAAUACCGGACAGCUCUUACUGGCAAACUAGUUUUAUUUAAGUUUAUUUAAGUUGUACAUUUUUCAGGGGAUGAUUCCCAACAACGAACACCUCCAAAUAUCAGACAAAGGAUAUUGUUUCUUCAUGAGACUAAAAUAUGAUUAUAGCAGCCUCAAGACAACGGGCUCCUUCCCUAAACAAAAGAUUUAUCUAUCUUUUUUAUUUUCACUUCAUAAAUUUUCACAGACGUAUCGUCACUUUAUAAACAAGAAGAAAGUACAGUUAAGAAGAACUACAGGCCAAUUAGUGUUUUGCCAAAUGUUUCAAAAGUUUUCGAGAGGCUUCUAGUCAAACAAGUGGAAGAACACAUAGAACCGUAUUUGUUCAUACUAUUAUGUGGAUUUCGCAUAGGAUAUAACACUCAGCAAGCCUUGGUACGUUUUUCGGAAAAAACCAAGUUUGCAUUGACGUAGGUGGAAAAGUUGGUGCUGUCAUGAUAGGUCUUCCUAAGGCUUUUGACUGCCUGAGGCAGAUCUCCUUAUAGCCAAAUUGGACGCAUACGGCUUCAGUCAUGAUGCCUUGUCUCUAAUUUACAGUUACUUGCAUAACAGACGACAGAAGGUCAAGGUCAACGGGUCUUUUAGCUCCUGGAAUCAACUUACUUUAGGAGUGCCUCAAGGAUCAGUGCUUGGAGCCCUUCUAUUCAUUAUCUAUAACAACGAUUUGCUUCGUCCCUUAAAUAAUACAGAUGUAUGCAAUUAUGCCGACGAUACAACUUUAUUUGCUUGUAAUAUUGAUACUGGUAAUGUUGUUGCUAGGUUAGAACUAGAUUCCGCCCAUUCAAUCAAAUGGUUCUCUGACAAUUAUAUGAAGCUCAAUGAAGACAAAUGUCAUCUAUUAACAUUUGGAAAUGUGAGUGAUGACUCUGUUUCGGUCAAAAUUGGCAGUUCUACUCUAACUAAUAGUAUUGAAGAAUAAUUGUUAGGAGUUACCUUAGAUAGCAAACUUUCAUUUGAGCAAUAUGUAAGUAAUCUAUGUCAAAUGGUCAUCAACAAGCUAUAUGCUUUGUCACCUAUUGCACACUAUAUGGACCAAAUUGACUAAAGGAUACUGAUGUUAUCAUUCAUCAAUAGCCAGUUUAAAUACUGACCUUUGGCAUGGAUGUUCCAUAGUAGGAAACUAAAUUCUAAAAUAAAAAAACUGCACGAGCAAACCCUUUCAAAACUGUUAUUUUGCAAUGCUAUUUGUUUGGCAAGGUUUGUUUGAGUUAUGGGAGCUUAAAUUUACUGACGCAUAUUUUGUACAUACUCAUUUGUUUGUGCGUGGCUAUGUAUAGUGUCCACCAGAGUUAGCAGAAAACUUGCAUCAAAGUAUAUUCAGGGCCGUGCCACUGAUCGUAAAUUGGAGGACAAGCUCUGUUUAUAAAUUUUACUCUUGCCCCCUUUACACCCAAUCGUGGCAAACAUUUUACUGACGAUUUGCUUGUGUACUUUAGUUCAAUGUAUUUGUUGUAAUUUAAAGGUUUAUUUAUAUGAAAUUUGGAUAAAGUGAAGAGGUCAUGCUCCCUUGCCUCCCUUCCAUGGGGCAGACCCUGUUAUCAAAUAUCAUUUUUGAAGGAAGGAAGAGCAACUUUAUGUUCUUGAUAGAGUCGUCGUUGAUGUAGCAACUGUACCUCGCAAGUGACAUUAUUACCCAGUGCACUAAAACUAAACAAGGGAGUAUGGGGAAAAGAUUAUCAUCUUGCUUAUGGGCCAGCAAAGUACUUAUAUUGAAUUCAAAAACUGAUAAAAAAUUUUAUUAAGAUAUCCUUCAAAUUUGAAAUAAUACCCAAAACUCAGGUGUGACCUUUCUAAAAACGCUGUCUAAAUUAUAUUCCUGUUUCAAGUUUCAUUUUACAAGUUCCGUUACUAUUCAUUUGUUUUUGUACCCUGCAAGGUCAUUUAAAAAAGUAAUGAGUAAAAUUAAUUCCCAGUAAAAGACAUUUUUGCAGUGUUUAAAAUCAAUGUUUUAAAAGCAUAUCAAAUAUAAAUAGAACUAUGAACUUUAUAUUUUUGCUAGAAAACGCAAUAAACUGACCCAAAAGCAACAUUUCAUGUUUGAAAACGGCGGGAUAUAAAAUGAUUGGGUCUUCUAUCUUGAAAUGAUGUUUAGAAAAAAAAAUUAAGGUGUGUGCUGGAACUGCAUGAUGGCAAAAUCAUGUGAUCUUCUGUUAGUACUCUUUUAUUCGUCAAUUUGAAUGAUAUAAUUCUAGAUGUGUAGGAGGCCUUGUUUGCAGUCAUAUUUUGUUAAUUAUUCACCUGCAUGACUUACUGUUCUCUUCUAUUGUUUUCCUUGCCACCUGCAAAUACUAUUUCUACAUAUAAUUCAAAUCGCAUCCAUAUCGCUUUUAUAUGAAACAGGGUUGUUGUUGGCAGUAAAAUAACAGUGAUGCUUUAUCAAAACCUGUGCUCCAGGUGAUGAUUAAUUUCGCAUGUCUUUAAUAGUGUCGGCCUUUUAUCUUUGACUUACAAUACUUUGUCUGAUUCUCGACGAUGCAUUUAUUCUCACACCCAUUUGAUUUUGCUAUUUAUUUGUCCAUAUGUAAUAAAAUAUCAUUUUACGUUGACUUGCUACAAGUGCACUGGCUAGUUAUACUUUUCUCUGUCUUCCUAUUGAAACCUUGUUAACCUCUCUCUGAAAACUAAGAAAUUGUUGUAUGCGUAAAUUGGAGAUCAACUAGAAUGUACGACAUUGCUUUCGCUUUGAUUCUAUAUGUUAAAUUGUACGUGGUUUCUAGAAAAUAUUAUUUUCUGCAUGAAGACUUUUCUGCACAAAGACAUUUCUGCACAAAGUCUUUUCUGCACGAACACUUUUCUGCACGGAUUAUAGGGACACUGGAAGUUUGAGAGCUGUUUCCCUUCAGAAGAAAAUUGAUUUGUAGUUACCUUCUCGAAUAGGCCAUUGCAGAUCAGUCUUCGAAAGGAACCAUGCAGCAUUGCCUUACUAAAGGCUGCUCGUGCUUUGGACUAAAAGACUCUCUGCAUAUAUAGGAAUUAACAGAAGCAACUGCUUAACAGAAAUAAUUUUGGUGCAUCUUUUCAUCAGUGAAUUAGUAUAGCUAGAAGAAUAUUCAUGGCAAACCAACCAAUGUUUCUUUCAGGAAGGACUAGCUGGCUCUUCAGACAUCUUCAUUCGGUUUUUGCUUUUUUUUCCUUCGUCCAGUUUUCCUCUAAUUUCAACCUUUCAGGACUUAAUUGGAGCAUACCUAAGAGAUAGAGAGGAGGAAGGACAAAAUUUUCUUAAACAAGUGUUAUUUAAACGAUCUUCGAACGAAGAAGGAUAAUUGUGUAUGUUACCAAAAUAACAAUACUCUUUCAUCAGUAUAUAAGAAAAGGAUCUUUCAAUUUUGAUUUUUUAUGUGCAGUUUUUUGUGAAAAUGUUGUUUCUUAUAAACCCAAAAUCCCCAUGAGGAUAUUUCUUUACGCCUUUUGAGACCUACAAAGCCUUAAAAGCCGAGGUGCGGCUGUUUUCAUUUCUUUUUUAAAGGUCAAAUUUUCUUAGAUCGCAUUGUUGCGAAACCCUUUCUACGUUAUUCCUUUCUCGUCGCCUUAUCUUUGCUCUUGAGAUGGCCCCAACUGACGGGAUGGAAGAACUAUUCUUCUUCAGUCAGACACUAUCUAUGUCAUAUAAAAAGUGGCAUGCGUUUAUGAACUAUAUUUCAUGCCUUUGCAACUGUAACAAUUAAAUGGGUUCUUAGUAUGACGGUGAAGAACCUGGUAAUAACAAAUUUGUUGUUGGAGCGAUGGGCUAGGCCAAAGGGCCUAGUUCUCGAAUAGAUAGAACACAAGAGAUACUCUAGAGAUACAAGAGAUACUCCUUCUUUGAUGUUAUCUCUAAUGAUUUAACAGAAACACUAACUUCUAAAGUGAUAAACACACUAAUAACAUAACGGAAGCUAAUUAACAGGACAAUAGGGACCUCACACUACAUGUUGACAAACAAUUACAUUGCUAUAAAAGGCGUUCGUUAACACAACAGGACUUAACAGAAAAUGUGACUUUAACACGCAAAAGGAACAUAACUAAAUUGAUUACAUAUAAAGGCCAAACCGUUACACAACUCACAUUAUAGUCUACUCUGUUAGAGCCCUCAAAUUUUUAACUAAGUGAACAAUCUCUGGAAAUGAUGGUCUUACUUCCUCUUUUUUCUUUAAAUUUGGAUAUACAAUCACUGCCAAAAGUCUUGGAACACUAACGUAGGUUUUCAAAGGCAAAUUCAGCCAUCCCCCUCUCCCCCUAGGAACAAUGUUGAUUUACUAUAGAAAAAAGAAAGAGGUUAUAGAGUGCGCUUUUUCUUGUAUAUUGUUUGAUAUUUUUCUAUACUUUCAACAUUGUUUUGGGGGGAAAGGGGGGCGGAAGUGGUGGUAUUCAAGAAAACAAAUGAAAAAUAGAAAAGCACAGCCCAAAGUGUUAGGUGUUCCAAGUAAUUUUGGCAGUGAUUGUAGCUUAUCCUUUCUCUUUUAUUCUUGAUACUAGCUUUUAUUUCAGUCUUGCGUUUUUUUUCUUAAGUAGUUUUGUUUGUUGACAACUUAAAAGUAACUACUUACUCAAUUAAAGGAAACUUACCAGAACGUUUGGAAAAGUGCUGACGUUUGCAAAAUCUGCUGCCAAACGAAGAAAAAAAUAAUUAUAUUCUCAAAAUUUAUAAUUCAUUCAUUAUUUAACCUGUAAAUUGAACAGCUCAAAAGGAGACAUCCUCUACAGUCUGGCCAUUUAUUUUGAAUAGUCGAAGGGAAACAAACGUCAUUGCUGUUAUCUGAUUUUCUUUAUCAAAAUGAAAUUCAAGUUUGAUUUAACGGGAUUGAAAUUGGUUUGAACUCUGAGCAAUCGAUUGGCAAGAUUGAAUCACCUUUGUUGCUUCAACCGAUAUUUUGUAGCAAUAAUCUUUGGAUGAAUCUUAAUACUUAAAUCUGGUUGGAAAAAUUUGUUCUUCCCGCUUCAACGAACAUACAACAUUAAGCUUCACCUUUUUUAACGUUUCAUUGACUUUUUUGGACAUGGUGCUCCAAAUAACAUACCUUUUUAUGUGUGACAUGCCAAUAUUAAUUUUUAUGUUUCAAUAUACAUAGAUCAUGUUAGUUUCUCAAAGAAUUUUAGGUUCAUAAUUCGAAUUUCCCUUUCAUUGUAUUUGACAUAAUGUUUUUCAAUAAUUUGCAUUAUAUCUCACAUUAUACAAUGUAUGUAUGUCACCUGUCUAUACCAGUCAUACUUCCCUUACCACGCAAAAACCUUCAAUAUGGUUUUCUCUCUUUUCAUACUGUUUCGUUGUUUCCAUAAUGGUUGCUUUGUUCUUGUAAUGCUUGCUAAUUUCAUUUAACGCUAGCGACGCCGUGUAUAUGACAGAAAUCAAACAAACAAAAUUUCUUUUGCGUCAGUUGUACUACUAUUCAUUUUCUAUCAUCUAAACUCAACUCCCCAACAUUCUUCUGUUAUGAAUUAUUCAAAAUUCUAUUAAGACGAACUGUCAUUAGAAAUAAAACACGGUCAUAUUGUAUUGGUACGACUUCCUGUGUCCGAAAAGACCUGUUACGCGUGUAAAAUAAUUCACCAAUCAGCUGGUGUUUAUAUUAUCAAGGGCGACACAAUAUUAAGCGUAUAUGAGUGUGAUUUAGCAGUUUGGAAAUGCGAUAUUGUUUUCGCAGCACAUUAGCUGUAGCUUUGAAAAUAUCACCAAUGUCUGGGCUUGAAAAGCUUUCCUGAAGCUGCUCUAAAGCAAAAUGAUAGCAAGACGGCAGUCGAUUGCAGACAAAGCUUUUUUAUGAACUACGUUGCGUGCUUUGGAGGCCGCUUCAACAUGGCCAAUUGAUACUAUUAUUUAAAAGAACUUUUACCGAUUUGAAAAGUCAGUGCAAUUACGGUGUGACUUGUUGGAUUUUUGAGGCGAUUCGUGUGGAAAUCUUUUAAGAAUAUGUUUCCUAUUCUGAGCUUAAAGUGAACUCUAUCUUUUCUUUCAACUUUAUCCAACUAAUAUCAACAAAAGAGAUUUGAAGAAUACGAUUUGAAAGCAGUUCGUUAUUCAAAUCAAGAAAAUCUUGUUUUAUUUGGAGAUCAUUUGUUUAAAGUUGGUUUUGUGAAAUUAGUUUAUCCAGCUUUUCUAAUAACUUCAUCUGAAAACUUCCAUUGGAAUCCUGGUCGCUUGCAUGGCAUACAUAGGAAAUUGUAGUUUGUUUUCCCGUAUUAUUUAGUUGACGCAUACAUUGACCACAGACGAUUCAUGCGAUAACCACCCGAUGUUGUUGCUUAAGGACAGAUGCAGGCAAUAAAUCUUUAAUGCUGAAAUCGUUUCUGCAGUUCCCUGUUCAGUUACAGGAUGAUUUUUUGAAAGAGAUGUUGCCGUUUAGCUGACUCACUUAGUCGCGGAUAGUCAAAUUGUCGAUUAUACGACUUUUUCAUACAUGAAUAAUUGAUUCUUUAACUACUUCAAUUAUCUUGUUUUGCAAAAUCACCGCCAAGCACCGAACUAUCCUGCUCAACUCCAACGAGAAAGAAAUAUCUGCAAUUUGCUUGUUUGGCUGUUAAAGUGAAAUGACAUGCACAAGUUGUAAUCCGUAGUUCGGAUGGUGUUUGUCGGUUUGCUGGUAGCGUGACAGGGCUCACUCUUACCACACAGCCUUUGCUUUCAUUCACAAAUCGUGUUCGCAGUUUCAGGCAGACUCAAGACACCCAUGUGGCGGUACUUACUCCUCUUCAGCGAACGGAUUUCAUGAUGCAGAAUAAGCGAGUAUUGACCAGGCACAAAUCCAUGCCAAUACCAAAACUUAAAGUUCAAACAGUCGACGAAGAGAAAUCAUUGUUUGAUAAGAACGAAGAUGGCAGUCCUUUGAACUAUGAUUUUUCACAAGCUAAUCAGAAUUUUUCUGCUGACUCUAGGUACAAACUACGCAACAUUCUGACGACAGAUAAGCCUUCGGAGGAUAAAGAAACCGUCAGGGUGAAGUAUUACAUACACGAGAAAACAUUCAGAGAAAGGUUAAAGAUCAUUUUCAUCACCAAUCAUAAGUCGAGUAUAAGAUGGCAAUCUCUGCGCUUUGCAAUAUUUUUGUCCUCCUGUAUGGCAUAUCUACUGCGCGCCCUCCUGGAUACAGAUCCAAAAAGAUCGGGAUGUGGCGGAUGUCCUGAAGAUAGACGAAACACAACAAAAUGGUGUUGCCCUGACUAUUCUAAAGAUGAUAUUCAUAUGGCAUUACUUUGGGUGGAUCGGCCUAUAGGCAUAUGGGCCUUCCAGACUGCAGUUGCCAUAUUUAGCAUCUUUGAUGCAAUUCUCACCGGAUUUCUGUCAUACAAAGGCUCUCUUCUUGGCGCGAUCGGGAGGUACAUGAUAUUAGAAAUAUUAACUGGUCUGCCCUUCAUCAUUUCGAUCUUUUGGUAUGAUUUUCGCAAUAUCUUUGCAUUAACGUUUUUGCAUUGCUGGAUUGCCAAAGACAGUGCAUACAGAGUCCUGACGGAUUUACAUCGAAAUAGACUUCAAAACAGAUCGGCUGUUUCACAGAAAGUCAUGCUAGUUGCAUUCAGUGUCAUCUGCCUCAUCUUUACAAGCAUCUGCGGGCUUCAGCAGCUGGAGCGUGCACAUGGAAGCUGGACAAUGUUCAAGGCACUCUGGUUUGUCGUUGUCACUUUCAGUACUGUUGGUUAUGGUGACACUGUUCCAAAAGAUACAUUGUCAAGAACAUGGGUUAUGAUUAUGAUUAUUCUCGCAUUGCUCAUCCUCCCAGCAGAGUUGGAAGAGCUGGCCUUUCUUCUUGUUUCCAAGCAAAAGGAAGGUGGUGUUUACAGCACUGCGUACGGUGCUGACAGGCACGUUGUUGUGUGUUCGACUGCCCUGAGAGCUAGUACAAUGAUUGACUUCUUGAAUGAGUUUUAUGCUGACCCAAAAAUGGAGGACGUCCAUGUAGUUUUACUUUCACCAGCCGAGUUAGAAAGCAAGCUGCGUAUUCUAUUGCAAGUACCGUUGUGGGAUCAAAGAGUAACAUAUCUGAAAGGCUCUGCGUUGAAUGAUCAAGAUCUCAUCAGAGCAAGGGUCAUCGAUGCAGAGGCCUGCUUCAUUCUUACCGACAGGGGAAAUCCUGAUGUCGAUGUUCGGGACCAUCAGACAAUCGUAAGGACUUGGGCUAUUCAAGACUUUGCACCAGCAACUCCACUUUACGUUCAAAUUCACAAACCAGAAAACAAAUUUCACGUCACUUUUGCAGAGCAUGUGGUCUGCGAAGACGAGAUUAAAAAUGCAUUGCUGGCAUCAAAUUGUAUUUGUCCUGGCAUAUCAACUCUGGUGACGCUUCUUUUACACACAUUGCGGGAGCAAAAAGGAACUUCAUCUGAUGUCUGUGAAAAUAUCUAUGGAAGAAGCGCAGGAAAUGAAAUCUACGAUAUCCGACUUGGAGACAGUAAAAUGUUUCGAAGAUUUGCUUAUAAAAGUUUUACAUAUGCGGCAUAUAAUGCUUUUAAAAGGUUUGGUGUAACAUUGAUCGGUGUACGAAGAGAACCAAAAGAGUCACAGAUAUUUCUUAAUCCUGGCCCAAGCUUCAAACUAGCAUACGAUGAUACCUUGUUCUACAUUGCAAUAACAUCGGAAGAAGACAUGGCCCUAGAAGAGCUUACUAAACACUCGAAGAAAGGAAAGUACCAAAGCUCUCUCAAAAGCGAUGAUGGAAAGAAGAGUCGCAAACUAACGAGGCAGAGUGAGUGGGGAAGCUUCAUAUCAGUCAUCGACAAUAGCGAGGAUGAUAAAGGUAUAGAACAGAAUAUCGAGCUUAAACCAGCACCACCAAGUCCAAAUGGUUCCGUGCUACACAGCAAAGACUCUCCGAUUGCAGCUUCUAUUAUUGAUAUCAAUGUUUCAAAUGCGGGUGAUUUCAAUGAAAUACCGGCUUCGGAUUUCUCUGAUCAGUCCAGUGACAAUGAUGUUCAAGAGUUAAAUGUUCCCAUUCAAAACAUCCCAAACUACAUAAUUGGGGUACCCCCGAUAACACCGUAUGUUGGAAGAUCACCCUUAAAAUGUCAUCUUCUACCGGAACCAAAACCGUUUUGCUGUAUGGAACUAAAUAAGCCUUGCACAAAACAACACAAGCUGCAAGACAGAGACGAUAGAGCGAAAAACUUGACUGGUGGGGUCAUUGUAGCCUGUCCGAGAGCUGGAGCGGGUCUCUACAACUUCAUUCUUCCGCUGAGAGCAUAUCAUCAACCAAAAUGUUAUCUAAAACCAUUGAUUAUACUUUUAAACGAGCGGCCUUCACCUGCUUUUUACGAAGCUGUUUGUUCAUUUCCUCUUUUGUACUUUAUGAUUGGAUCAUUUAAAAAUAUAGACGACUUACUUCAAGCUGGCAUAUUGGAAUCAGACACUGUUGUGAUAACUGAUCAGCUACAAUCCAUGGAAGGAAUUUUCUCCGACGAAGAAUACAUGGCAGAUGCUUACACGAUUGUAGGAGUACAAACUAUAUAUAGGCUGUUUCCGAAUGUUGGCUUGAUCGUUGAGCUCACACAUUCUAGUAACAUGAAAUUUAUGAAAUUUGACGUACCAACUAUCCCACCGCAAGUGACUGGUUUGUCCAACAAGGAAAGCUUGCGAAAUACAAUUAAGUUAAGGACAAGAGAGAUGAAAUCACGAAAUGAUCACCUCGAUUAUUUGUUCAGAGGUCCUUUUGCUGCCGGAAAUGUUUUUAGUGCCAGCAUGAUCGAUACCUUAUUAUAUCAAACGUUUAUGAAAGAUUAUAUGAUAACACUAAUAGCCCUUUUACUUGGAUGCGAACAAAACGCAGGGUCUGGGUAUCUUGCAUCGGUAUCAAUAACUGACAAUAACAUAUGGAUAAAGAGUUACGGCCGUCUAUUUCAACGGCUUUGUACAACUAACUAUGAUAUCCCAAUUGGGUUAUACCGGCAUAUAACUGGUAGCUCAACCACACAAACCAGUGACAAAAUACCUGAAAGCAGAGAUAUUUAUGGGAUAGUAACAAAUCGUAUGAAGCGGUUAGGAUUACGGGGGAAGCAUGAUUUGUUCACACGACAAGGCAAAUCUUACUCCCUGGUUAAUCCCCCUCCUGAUUUUGAGCUUGAAACAGGUGAUAUUGUAUACAUCAUAAGGAGAUCUCCGUCGAUGACUUCAGUUCACAAUGACUUGAGUCCCGAUGACGUGGCCACGGCUACAACUGCUCUCUAAAAUUCUCCAAGUCGAUGAAAAUGUUUCAAGACGUGCCCUUCAAGAAAGGAAACAUGAAAAUGAUUUUCUAUCAUCUGAGAAGCCCAAAAGAGCUUGUCCUUUUGGUAAAUUGGAGGGGAUAAACGACUCAGUAGAAGGUCUAUGACCACAGUGUAUUAACCCCUUCCUUUUUCCAAUUUUUGUUCGACCGAAGAUGCCCCAAAAGUCCACAGCUGCAGUUCUGAGUAGCUCAGACAAUUGGUAAAGGCACCAGCUGCUGUGUAACGGGGAUUGAAAAAUUGGUUUAAGCCUUAUAAAAUCUUUAGACCACGGUCUUUGUAUUAUUCUGCUAGGUAAACAUUGAAAGGGAUACCGGUCCUUCCUCAAUUCAUUUUAGUCAAUCUAUAGAAGAUUGGUGUAGAUCUGUGUUGAAAAAGUAGACAAGGAGCAGAUGCAAAGGAAUCUGCCUUGUUGGUCCUUGAAUACAGCUUUGUUAGGCAUACAUGGGGUAGUAAAGGCUCAUCUAUAAAAUGUUUUAGCUACUUAUCUUUAGACACCCAUGUACAUCAUUUCAUUUGACAGCAUGCUGUAGUACCUAUUUAAUACUCUUAAAACUCAGCUACGAUUGUCUAGGAAACAACAAACAAUAAAAUGUUUCUCUAAACACUCAAACUCUCUUGCUGGUAUGACCUCACUAAAAAUAUUAAGGACCUAGAGAGAAAUUUAUUUUACUGUGCGCGAAAGCCUGCGGUGCAGGCUCAUUGUCAACAAUUAAAUGUCAUUAAAAUUUCCAUAUUGGAAAGAGACGGUCAGAUAAUUAUAUAUCUCUUAAUUAUUUAGCUGUUUGCUGAGAGAAACUUAGGCAAUGUGAAUAACGUUAAGAUUUGUCUUCUUGACAUCGAAAAAGAUGACUCAAACGACCCGAAUCUUUUUCCACAAGAGCCAUACAAUCUUUGUAAUACGCUUUGCUUGCGGUAGGAAAUUAUCUUGCCAAAAGUUGGAGUGAUGAUGGGUGGUAAUGUUGGUGAAACUCCACUUUAACAAGGUAUGCCCUCUCAAAGAAACAAGGUAAAGAAUUAAAGACUUAAGGUAUUAAAGAUUUUUGUCAGAAAAUUCAGUUUGCUCACCCUGAGACACUGAUCAUGUAGUGUUGCUUAUCAUCAUGAUAGCUUUAUCUCGUAAAUACCAAAUUACUUUUCAUAAAUUCAGAACUCUAUGAAAACAUUCAGUUACUAAAUUAUUUAUAGAAUUAUCGAAUUAUCAGCCUAUUUAGGUGCUGUAUAAUGACAGUUUUUGUUACUGGACAACAUUUGUUUACACACCCAUAUUGUAAUUAUUAGAGUAAACAUUGUUUAUUUACUUAAGGACAUUGAUAGUAUUUAUUGAAGGCAUUGUAAAUGCAGAUGAUGAAUUAUUUGAAAGGUAUUUCUUCUGUAAUAUAUAGUGAUAUAUACUUGUCAGAAUAGACUGUAAAUAGAGAUUCUUUACUGCAUUUUUUGUCUUAAGGCCAUUAAACAAUCAGCGCUGGAGUUUUGCUAUAGGCACUCUGCAGUAUUUACUGCUGUAUUUUCUUUCGUGAAGAAUAUGAUUAACACAAGUGCUAAUCUUAGCACCCUAGUUAAUCCUAACCGUUUUAAGGUCAGCAAUGUUGUCAUAGAGAGGAUGUGUGUCGAAAAUUGGGAUUCGAAACUAUAUCGUCAAAAUCUACAACAUAUAGAAAGAACGGUUUUAAUAACAGGAGUGAAAAGAUUCACAGUUCUAAUGGAAUUCAAUUCGGAAUGCUCACUUCCCUGUCUGACUUUAUCUUUUUUCUCUGCAAAAAGGAGGAAGCGGAGGUUAGAAAGAAAAUGCAUUGUAAAAGCUUUCCCUUUUUGUCAACCAUUUAACAGAUUCAGCUAUGGAGUCAAGGGGCUUGGGACUUAGAGUUAAAAGUGCCUUUUAGAGAUGUGACGCCAUCCUGCGAGUUUCCAUCGUCUUACAACACCAAGGAAUUUCCAAAUACAGCUUUAAGACGCAAUCUGUAAACCUGAGACGCCAGAAGCUGCAGUUCGAAUCCCUUUACCACAACUGGAAAUCACGUGAUGUGGAAGGCUUCCAGUGACUGGUAUCGAAAGAAGGGGCCACGUAACGGUUUGAUAAGCAGACAAAUGCUUUUUAUGAGAAGCCACUUUAAGGCACUGAGACAGCCGAGUACCUAAAAUCUCUUAAUGUUACGGCAGCAUUGUUAAAAAAUUUUUCACAUUCUUCAUAUUCAGAUGAACAAGAUAAUGUUGUUUUCUGUCGUGCAAGCAAGAAAAUAAUUUUUUCUUUGUCACUAAAACUUAGCUUCUAAUUUUAUUCAUAAAGUAAGAUUGCAUUAUUGAUAGAGUGAAAUAGUCGAAUUUUGGCAAAUCUCUCCAAUCUAAGAAUCUUAACGAACUUUUAAUUCUUAAUUUUUAUGAAAAUUAAGAAAGUUUCGGUACAAAGAACUUUUUAAAUUUCUUUUUAAAAUUCUUUUCAAGUGUCCUAAAUUCUCCCUUUAUAAAUUAUUUCAUUAAUAAAAAAGUACGUAUAUGAAACAGCACUUUAUUUUUCGUUGCUCUUGUACAUCUGAUCUAGAUAGGGUACUUGCAAAAUCUGCACUUUCAUUAACAGCUUCGUUCUUUGAACCUUUCUUUUUAUAUGCUUUAUAUAUGCUCUAAAAAGGCCUCGCAAAACGUCUGCAAACUUCAAGUUUAUCUAGUAUACUUGUUGAUAAUAUAGAUUUAACCGGAAGAAAUAAUGUAUUCAUUUCCAAAUCUAGAUAAUCAUUCCUCGAACAAUGAAACAAUUCCUAAGUUGGUCUUUCGAUAAUUUUUUCUUGGCAAACAGCAUUGGCAAAGAAAAAGGGAAUUAUGAGGUCAAGCAAAAGUCAUUGUUAAAUAUAAUAGGAAAAUGAAUGAUUUCAGUUCAUGUUUACUGGAAACUGAUAACAAAUCUAUGCGAAGUUCAGUGAAUUUGCAAGACUCUGUAUAAGUGUUUGUUGAAUGCCUGUUAGCAUGGCUAAUUAACCACUGGCUAAUGAUAUAAGGUUAUAGGGUGGUCAGACCUGUAUCGCAUCACCAGUUCCAAGAGCAAACAUGUUCAGUGAAAAGUUAGGCAGGCUCGCGCCAAUCAACGGAUGAAUAGAACAGAACAACGACAAAGCAAAAACUUUGAACAAGAACUUACAAAUCCUUCUGUCAUCUGCAAUGCUACAUGACUAGGCCACUUUAUGGAAAGCGAUGAACUAUCAGAGAUAAAUCAAAUGAGCAAGAACAAGAAAAAAUAAAGGAUCACAAAUGAACCGACGCACAACUGGCUGCAGCUGCAUAAGUACCUUUGUUGGAAUUUUAUUUCUUUUGCAUACAUGGCUAUGCAGUGGUGCACUGAGAUCCAAGUAUGCCAAUGU